rnacentral:rRNA from 1 species
GAUGAACGCUGGCGGCGUGCCUAAUACAUGCAAGUCGAGCGAACAGACGAGGAGCUUGCUCCUCUGACGUUAGCGGCGGACGGGUGAGUAACACGUGGAUAACCUACCUAUAAGACUGGGAUAACUUCGGGAAACCGGAGCUAAUACCGGAUAAUAUAUUGAACCGCAUGGUUCAAUAGUGAAAGACGGUUUUGCUGUCACUUAUAGAUGGAUCCGCGCCGCAUUAGCUAGUUGGUAAGGUAACGGCUUACCAAGGCAACGAUGCGUAGCCGACCUGAGAGGGUGAUCGGCCACACUGGAACUGAGAAAAGGUCCAGACUCCUACGGGAGGCAGCAGUAGGGAAUCUUCCGCAAUGGGCGAAAGCUUGACGGAGCAACGCCGCGUGAGUGAUGAAGGUCUUCGGAUCGUAAAACUCUGUUAUUAGGGAAGAACAAAUGUGUAAGUAACUAUGCACGUCUUGACGGUACCUAAUCAGAAAGCCACGGCUAACUACGUG